rnacentral:rRNA from 1 species
AUAGGUGGUUUAAGCGUGUAGUCGUGCCGCGUAGGCAAAUCCGCGUGGCUAAGAUGAGGCGUGAUGACGAGGAUCCUCGGAUCCGAAGCGAGUGAUACCCCAGCUUCCAGGAAAAGCCUCUAAGCUUCAGUCUAAGAGUGACCGUACCGCAAACCGACACAGGUGGGCUGGUAGAGAAUACCAAGGCGCUUGAGAGAACUCAGGAGAAGGAACUCGGCAAAUUGAUACCGUAACUUCGGGAGAAGGUAUGCCCCUGGUACGUGAAGGCCCUCGCGGCCGGAGCGGAACGGGGUCGCAGAGAAUCGGUGGCUGCGACUGUUUAUUAAAAACACAGCACUCUGCAAACACGAAAGUGGACGUAUAGGGUGUGACGCCUGCCCGGUGCCGGAAGGUUAAGUGAUGGGGUGCAAGCUCUUGAUCGAAGCCCCGGUAAACGGCGGCCGU